rnacentral:rRNA from 2 species
GGUUAAGCGACUAAGCGUACACGGUGGAUGCCCUGGCAGUCAGAGGCGAUGAAGGACGUGCUAAUCUGCGAAAAGCGUCGGUAAGGUGAUAUGAACCGUUAUAACCGGCGAUGUCCGAAUGGGGAAACCCAGUGCAAUUCGUUGCACUAUCGUUAACUGAAUACAUAGGUUAACGAGGCGAACCGGGGGAACUGAAACAUCUAAGUACCCCGAGGAAAAGAAAUCAACCGAGAUUCCCCCAGUAGCGGCGAGCGAACGGGGAGCAGCCCAGAGUCUGAAUCAGCUUGUGUGUUAGUGGAACGGUCUGGAAAGUCCGACGGUACAGGGUGAUAGUCCCGUACACCAAAAUGCACAGGUUGUGAACUCGAAGAGUAGGGCGGGACACGUGGUAUCCUGUCUGAAUAUGGGGGGACCAUCCUCCAAGGCUAAAUACUCCUGACUGACCGAUAGUGAACCAGUACCGUGAGGGAAAGGCGAAAAGAACCCCGGCGAGGGGAGUGAAAAAGAACCUGAAACCGUGUACGUACAAGCAGUGGGAGCACCUUCGGGUGUGACUGCGUACCUUUUGUAUAAUGGGUCAGCGACUUAUAUUCUGUAGCAAGGUUAACCGUAUAGGGGAGCCGCAGGGAAACCGAGUCUUAACUGGGCGUUAAGUUGCAGGGUAUAGACCCGAAACCCGGUGAUCUAGCCAUGGGCAGGUUGAAGGUUGGGUAACACUAACUGGAGGACCGAACCGACUAAUGUUGAAAAAUUAGCGGAUGACUUGUGGCUGGGGGUGAAAGGCCAAUCAAACCGGGAGAUAGCUGGUUCUCCCCGAAAGCUAUUUAGGUAGCGCCUCGUGAAUUCAUCUUCGGGGGUAGAGCACUGUUUCGGCUAGGGGGUCAUCCCGACUUACCAACCCGAUGCAAACUACGAAUACCGAAGAAUGUUAUCACGGGAGACACACGGCGGGUGCUAACGUCCGUCGUGAAGAGGGAAACAACCCAGACCGCCAGCUAAGGUCCCAAAGUCAUGGUUAAGUGGGAAACGAUGUGGGAAGGCACAGACAGCCAGGAUGUUGGCUUAGAAGCAGCCAUCAUUUAAAGAAAGCGUAAUAGCUCACUGGUCGAGUCGGCCUGCGCGGAAGAUGUAACGGGGCUAAACCAUGCACCGAAGCUGCGGCAGCGACACUAUGUGUUGUUGGGUAGGGGAGCGUUCUGUAAGCCUGCGAAGGUGUGCUGUGAGGCAUGCUGGAGGUAUCAGAAGUGCGAAUGCUGACAUAAGUAACGAUAAAGCGGGUGAAAAGCCCGCUCGCCGGAAGACCAAGGGUUCCUGUCCAACGUUAAUCGGGGCAGGGUGAGUCGACCCCUAAGGCGAGGCCGAAAGGCGUAGUCGAUGGGAAACAGGUUAAUAUUCCUGUACUUGGUGUUACUGCGAAGGGGGGACGGAGAAGGCUAUGUUAGCCGGGCGACGGUUGUCCCGGUUUAAGCAUGUAGGCUGAUUGUCCAGGCAAAUCCGGAUAAUCAAGGCUGAGGUGUGAUGACGAGGCACUACGGUGCUGAAGUAACAAAUGCCCUGCUUCCAGGAAAAGCCUCUAAGCAUCAGGUAACAUCAAAUCGUACCCCAAACCGACACAGGUGGUCAGGUAGAGAAUACCAAGGCGCUUGAGAGAACUCGGGUGAAGGAACUAGGCAAAAUGGUGCCGUAACUUCGGGAGAAGGCACGCUGGUGUGUAGGUGAAGUCCCUGCGGAUGGAGCUGAGACCAGUCGAAGAUACCAGCUGGCUGCAACUGUUUAUUAAAAACACAGCACUGUGCAAACACGAAAGUGGACGUAUACGGUGUGACGCCUGCCCGGUGCCGGAAGGUUAAUUGAUGGGGUUAUCCGUAAGGAGAAGCUCUUGAUCGAAGCCCCGGUAAACGGCGGCCGUAACUAUAACGGUCCUAAGGUAGCGAAAUUCCUUGUCGGGUAAGUUCCGACCUGCACGAAUGGCGUAAUGAUGGCCAGGCUGUCUCCACCCGAGACUCAGUGAAAUUGAACUCGCUGUGAAGAUGCAGUGUACCCGCGGCAAGACGGAAAGACCCCGUGAACCUUUACUAUAGCUUGACACUGAACAUUGAGCCUUGAUGUGUAGGAUAGGUGGGAGGCUUUGAAGCGUGGACGCCAGUCUGCGUGGAGCCAACCUUGAAAUACCACCCUUUAAUGUUUGAUGUUCUAACGUUGGCCCCUGACCGGGGUUGCGGACAGUGUCUGGUGGGUAGUUUGACUGGGGCGGUCUCCUCCCAAAGCGUAACGGAGGAGCACGAAGGUUAGCUAAUCCUGGUCGGACAUCAGGAGGUUAGUGCAAUGGCAUAAGCUAGCUUGACUGCGAGCGUGACGGCGCGAGCAGGUGCGAAAGCAGGUCAUAGUGAUCCGGUGGUUCUGAAUGGAAGGGCCAUCGCUCAACGGAUAAAAGGUACUCCGGGGAUAACAGGCUGAUACCGCCCAAGAGUUCAUAUCGACGGCGGUGUUUGGCACCUCGAUGUCGGCUCAUCACAUCCUGGGGCUGAAGUAGGUCCCAAGGGUAUGGCUGUUCGCCAUUUAAAGUGGUACGCGAGCUGGGUUUAGAACGUCGUGAGACAGUUCGGUCCCUAUCUGCCGUGGGCGCUGGAGAAUUGAGGGGGGCUGCUCCUAGUACGAGAGGACCGGAGUGGACGCAUCACUGGUGUUCGGGUUGUCAUGCCAAUGGCACUGCCCGGUAGCUAAAUGCGGAAGAGAUAAGUGCUGAAAGCAUCUAAGCACGAAACUUGCCCCGAGAUGAGUUCUCCCUGAGACUUUAAGUCUCCUGAAGGAACGUUAAAGACGAUGACGUUGAUAGGCCGGGUGUGUAAGCGCAGCGAUGCGUUGAGCUAACCGGUACUAAUGAACCGUGAGGCUUAACCUUAC